GGGGAAUCUGAAGCGGGAGUGGUCAGGGCGUGAGUUGUGACGAGGUGGAGUGGGAAUCCGAGCAGCAACCAAUGCCCCUGCUGUUGUACCACUCACUGCCUUGCUGCAAGUCAAAUGGGCUUCGCUCUGGAUGGUCUUGUAGCAGCUGCAGCAGCAGCAUCAUCAGAAGUGAGCAAGUGGGAGGGAGGGAGGUAGAAGAGACCGUGACGACGAAAACUACCCAUAGGGUAGUCGUUCAUGCCUUCCCAGACAUGUCCGAUUCGGUCCCAUUCUGUCGAGGGUGCCCGGCUUGACGCAGCAGCCAAUUGUGAGUGAGCCGAUGGCGGGCUGCACAUGCGGUGGGUGGUAUCGUUAAAUCGAUAACGUCGGAGAGUUGAAUAAGAUCGAGAGAGAGAGAGACAGAGGUGUGAAGCGGAUGAAGACGACAGAGCAAGAUGAGUAGUAGGAGUACGGAGAACAUGCGGUGAAGGAAGCAGGGGAGAGAGAGUAGAGGGAUUUGAAGCAAGCUAGGAAGGAAGGCAAGGCUAGGAGGGGAGAGAAUUUGGGAAUGAAGGGCUAGGGGAGAGAUGGAGCCGGGCCUGUCGCGGACGAGGGGUGAGGUGGGCAAUUAAUAGGAAAAGUUAAUGAAUUCGCGCGUGCGUGAAGCCUUAUGUUCCGCCCCCGAGCCCCCGCCAUUUCCUUUGCUGGGACAGCACUAAAUCCGCCUGCCACAUAUCCAGUGUUAGUAUGGGAGCCUGGGAGAGAGCGCCGCUCUUCGCUUCCAAUGCAUCGUAAAUUUUGGAUUUGUGUCAGGCUCUCGGUACUCCUCCUCGCCCGAGAGACUCUUUCUCUCAUUCUGCCCUCUCGUCCGCUUCCCGUUCCUCCGCCCCUUCUGCCCCCGACUCCCUCUGAUAUUAACAUAGUGGUCUCCCGCUCACUCUCCCCUUCUCUGUUCCGAUCUCUUCCUCCCUCACUCCACUUCGCACAAGUGUUCGUCUCCUGGCUCUCCUGUCCCACUCUGAUAUCAACAAUCUGCCCCUAGAAUCCCUCUGCGAAAGCCCAAGGUUGGGGCGCCAUUUGACUGCGGAACAUCCCCCCCCCCUUUCCUCUUCAAUAGCUGGGCGGUGGUUUCAUGGUCGGUAGCAACAGCUGGGGAUGUGCAGUAAAGGUAGGCUUCAGGCUUCGGAAAGUGUGAGAGUAUUAAUUGGCAAGUGUAUUCUGGAGGGGAGGGGAAGUCGGAGAUUGACUGAGUGGAACGACGUGCGGUGAGCUGGCUCGGUUUAAUAUCUGUGUGCCGCUGGAAUGCACAAUCCAGCGUGAGACUGGAGGUGCAGCUUUCUCAGGAAACGACGACUGUUAUGUGUAUCGGACAGUUUGAGAAGUAAGUAGUUGAGGAGACGUGCGAGGCGUGGUGUCAAGCAGGGGUAUGGAUGAUGACAGUGUCUGGACAGAACAAGAGCUUGUGCUUUUCCUUGUCUCUCAAUUCUUCCAAUAGAGGGUCUCUGGAGCUGCUGGGAAGAGGCGUGGAUAGUAGUAGUGGUGGGCGCGACGCAGUCACAGCAGACAGCUCGUCUCCCGGUGUGGGAAAGGAGGAUCCACCGAAAGAGCGUGAGGUGGUUAUGGGUCGCGGAAAAAUAGAAAUUAAGAAGAUUGAGAAUCCCACCAGCAGGCAGGUCACAUUUUCCAAGAGGCGUGGGGGCCUGCUCAAGAAGGCCCAUGAGCUCGCCGUACUCUGCGAUGCCGAGGUGGCCCUCAUCAUUUUCUCCAGCACAGGGAAGCUGUUCGAAUUCGCCAGCUCAGGCAGUAUGCGCGACAUUUUGGAGCGAUACAGCAAGUGUCCGGAUGGAGUGCAAACUGAUGGCAAUAGCGACUUCAUGGGUCGAGAAGUGGUGAAGCUACGGCAACAGUUAGAGCGAUUGCAGCAUUCUCAAAGGCACAUGCUUGGUGAGGAUCUUCAGGUUCUGACGGUGCCUGACCUUCUGCAAUUGGAGCAGCAACUGGACAUGGGUGUGUCUCGAGUUCGAGCAAGGAAGAAUCAACUUUUACUUGAAGAGGUUGAGGAAUUGCGGCGAAAGGAGCACGACUUACAGGCCGCAAAUGAAGAAUUGCGUCAGAAGCUUGCGGAUGCCAAGGGAAUGCUUACACUAGAAGCAGGCACAGCUCGCGCUGGGACAUCAGAAAGCCCUGGUGAUCAAGGUGGUAGUUGGCCCACACGUGAAGUUGGUGGAAUCACCCAGCAUCAAGCAAUCACAACAUUCCCUGCACAUCUCAAUCUCCGAGAUCCACAGACCUCGCAAACCUCGUUACAUCUAGGUUUAUUUCCUAAGUCGCACAUGCCGAGCGCAAGCAGAAGGCCGUCCCAGCAAAGUCCAACUGAACCAGAAGGUGAAUCUUCGAUGAGAUGGGAACAUCCACACUUUCGAAGCCAGAAAUAGACUCCAUGCAACCUUUCAACCACGUGGGAAAUAGUAGAAGUUUCAUUGUUCAUUUGGAGUUGCACAGUUUUCCAGAUAGGUGUUCUCAGAUGCAUCUGGAAUGGCUUGUAGGAGUGGCUGGAGGGCCGGCAGACUGAAGGCUGUCAGCAUUCACCAGCAGUGUUCAACCCAACUCUAGUACUGCCUCGACACUGCUACUUCUACAUCUCACCCAUGUUCAUCCGGAUUCAAUCAGUCCCUCGAGAUUCUUCCUUGUUUGUGUGUCUUGGACGAUAGACUUCAAACAAGGUAGCAUCACUGCGAGGGAAACCGAUUCGCUGUAAAACAGGGCGGAUCACUAUCACAAGCUAUCAGAAACUCCUUCGAAGAAUAGCCGGGACAGUGUCAGGUUAGUAGGAUGCUACAGAGUAUCUUCUUUUCAGAUCUACUAGCAAUUCCUUUAUCAGGCGGCAUGGAAGAAUGGAUUUAAGAAAACUGUUGAGAAAAUGUGCAUGAUAGUUGUGUAUGAUUUUGAUUGACGACCACAGACUAACAGAAAGGAUGAAAUCAAUUCUUCGAUAUAAAAAUUGUAUUCUUCUUUUUGAAAUUGGUUAGUACCAAAGUCAUUCAUUCGUGAUGUUUGGAUACUAAAUAAUUUUCGAAAACUACUAGGUAUCAUACAUCAAUAAAGAGCGGAUUCACUAAGAAAA